rnacentral:rRNA from 1 species
GCAGUCGAACGGGAUCGGCUGGAGCUUGCUCCGGCCGUGAGAGUGGCGAACGGGUGAGUAAUGCGUGACCGACCUGCCCCGUACACCGGAAUAGCUCCUGGAAACGGGUGGUAAUGCCGGAUGCUCCAGUCCAUCGCAUGGUGGUCUGGGAAAGAUUUUAUCGGUAUGGGAUGGGGUCGCGUCCUAUCAGGUAGUCGGCGGGGUAACGGCCCACCGAGCCUACGACGGGUAGCCGGCCUGAGAGGGCGACCGGCCACAUUGGGACUGAGAUACGGCCCAGACUCCUACGGGAGGCAGCAGUGGGGAAUAUUGCACAAUGGGCGCAAGCCUGAUGCAGCGACGCCGCGUGCGGGAUGACGGCCUUCGGGUUGUAAACCGCUUUUGUUGGGGAGCAAGCCUUCGGGUGAGUGUACCCUUCGAAUAAGCACCGGCUAACUACGUGCCAGCAGCCGCGGUAAUACGUAGGGUGCAAGCGUUAUCCGGAAUUAUUGGGCGUAAAGAGCUCGUAGGCGGUUCGUCGCGUCCGGUGUGAAAGUCCAUCGCUUAACGGUGGAUCUGCGCCGGGUACGGGCGGGCUGGAGUGCGGUAGGGGAGACUGGAAUUCCCGGUGUAACGGUGGAAUGUGUAGAUAUCGGGAAGAACACCAAUGGCGAAGGC